ACUUGCAAGUGCAACUGCAUGUAUGAAUCUCACUAAAUGUAAGAAAAAGGGAUGAAAGGAAGAAACUUCCUUAAUUUCUUGUGGAGUUGAAGAAAAGCUUUUUUACGUUUGGAGGAAAUACUGUGAGAUUCAGUGGUGGCUUUCCCUGUAUGGCCUAUGGCGUGAUAAAACAAUAGGAGUCGUCGAAUCGGUCAGCAUUCAGCAUCAAUGUGGUUUCUAUUAUUAAGCAAAUGGUUUGAAACAAAGUUUUCUCCAACAAGAGAUGUCAAGAAUCUUAAGGGCAAUAGUAUUUUAUUCCUCUUC